rnacentral:piRNA from 1 species
UAGUGCUUUCGUAUGACCUUUAUUUAGAGG